CUACGGGGGGCAGCAGUGGGGAAUAUUGCACAAUGGGGGAAACCCUGAUGCAGCAACGCCGCGUGGAGGAUGACGCAUUUCGGUGUGUAAACUCCUUUUAUAUAGGAAGAUAAUGACGGUACUAUAUGAAUAAGCACCGGCUAACUCCGUGCCAGCAGCCGCGGUAAUACGGAGGGUGCAAGCGUUACUCGGAAUCACUGGGCGUAAAGCGCGCGCAGGCGGACUUUUAAGUUGGAUGUGAAAGCCUAUGGCUUAACCAUAGAACUGCAUCCAAAACUAUCAGGCUAGAGUCUGGGAGGGGAAGAUGGAAUUAGUUGUGUAGGGGUAAAAUCCGUAGAGAUAACUAGGAAUACCAAAAGCGAAGGCGAUCUUCUGGAACAGUACUGACGCUGAGGCGCGAAAGCGUGGGGAGCAAACAGGAUUAGAUACCCUCGUAGUC
rnacentral:rRNA from 1 species